UACGGAGGGUGCAAGCGUUAAUCGGAAUUACUGGGCGUAAAGCGUGCGUCGGUGGUUUGUUAAGUCCGUUGUGAAAGCCCCGAGCUCAACUUGGGAAUUGCGGUGGAUACUGGCAAGCUGGAGUGCGGUAGAGGAAGGUGGAAUUCCGGGUGGAGCGGUGAAAUGCGUAGAGAUCCGGAGGAACACCGACGGCGUAGGCAGCGCCCUGGCUGUGAAUAAAGCUGACACUGAGGCACGAAAGCUGGGGGAGCAAACAGG
rnacentral:rRNA from 1 species